UAGAAUUAUGCUCAUAGACAUCACGUCAUUUAAAUCAGUUCAGAUUUCACCUGAUGUAAAAAAAAAUUCUAACAUCGGUUUCUAAAAAUCCGAUUUCUAUUUAUAUGAUUAACAUCGUAUGUUACUGUUGACCGAUGUCUAUAUUUUGAUUCCAAAAUUUUCAAAAACGCGGAAAGACUAAGUUAAAAGUUUUCGUACACGCGGGGAACAAAAUUUUCAUUCCCCCCGCACUUAGUCAGUUCUUCCACUUUUACCUUCUCUCACUUUAUCUUCCAAUUUCACACUCUCCCUCUUCCGCGAAGCCCUAGCCCCAUCCUCCUUCCUCUCCGCUAUCUUUCCACGGCCACCACCGCCUCCCUGUACUGUCUCUCUCUCAUUAACGACCUCCUCCCUCUCGCCGGCAUCAUCGCCUCGAUCUGCCGGCAAGCUCUCUCUCUCUCUCUCUCUCUCACUUACUCUCUCUAAAACCCUCUGUCUCUCUCUGGAAUUGACGAAGAUGAAGUCCAUGCAGCCGCGUCGCAAUUUCUUACGGGAGACGAUGAAGCCAAGCCUCCCCAGUCGCCAAACCCUAGCUCCGGCAAGCCUCCAAGGAGAAUGCGCCUCCGCUUACAGAUCUAACUCGUCAUCCUUUUUGAUUCUCACAGACAGAGAUUCCCAAAUCCUCCCUCUUUCUAUCAAGAAUCGAUUCACGACGACCCCUUUUUAUCCCGAUUCAAUUUCCCCAGGGGGAUGGCUGUGAUGGUGCAGCAGAUGGCUACGAUAGUGGCCUUUUUUGGUGUAUUGUCUUUCAUCUUCGGAAUUAUUGCGGAAAACAAGAAGGUAUUGUGUGUUAUGGGUCAAAUUGGUGAUUGUUAUAUCGGAAAGACUGAUACAUUUGUGCAUGUGUUCUAUUUUUUCCUUGUGUUACUUUGUGCAUCCUGAAAUUUGAUCCAUGAUAUUCUUCGGUUGUUAUUUGUGGAUGGUGGUUUGUUCGUUUAUUAGGGAUUACUAAUUAGUUAUUUUGAGUGUGUUCUAUCUCUGUGAGGUUGGAUUUUGUGUAAUUAUACACCUUUGCCUGAAGCAGGGCUUGUUUCCCAUGGCUUUAUUACAUCUGAGCAGUAAUAAUCUCAGAAAGGUAAUCAAUAUGUUAGUCUUUGCCUUCUAUUUCCUUGUAAUUGAGUAUUUACCUAAAAGCAUAAGCAUCCAUGUUAGGUAUUUUCUUACUGUUAAGUGUUGCACUCCAUUUAUAAUUCCAGAAUCCUGAGAUUGAUUUGCUGACUUUUUUUUUAUGUCAUAUAUUCUACAGACUUUACUGACUUCUUUUUAUGUCAUAUAUCAAACCAUUUAGGGGUUCAAAAAGGUUUUGUGGGAUGGUUCAAAGGAUUUGUGGGCUGGAAACUUUUUGAAAAUGGAAUUGAUCACCUCAUGUCUCAUUCUUUUUCUCCUAAAGAUGGUAUUGAGCAUGCUGGAACCCAAACUGUUGGGAAGAGUAAGGUAAUAAAAGAUGCUACUCAAGAGUGAACUUGGGAAGACGAUGUCACUCUAUGUUUUGGAUGCAAUCAUCUGUGUAGAUCAUGAGAGAUAUUUCCUAGGCCAACUUCAAAGCAAGGGUUUCCUAAGUUCUUGUCUUAUGAACAUCAGCAGCUUAUCUUAUCAGGUGCUUCUUUAAUCAACUAAGUGAAUUUCUGAUAAUUUGUUGGCUAGACAUCAAUUAAAAAUAAAAUAAAUAAAUAGAUAAGAGUUAAAGCAGACCAUGCUUAGGGUUGGGAGCCUCUUGUGGUCAAUUUCCUUUUCUAUAAGUCAGCUUGAAUAAUCUGGCUCCCAAAUUGGCUUUUUCAAUCAUAAAAUGGUCAGAAAAGAGGUAUAAUAUCCAUUUUCUAAACAUCAAAUAACUAUUAUGUAUACAAUGCAGAUUUGCGACAUAAAUGAAGUAUCAAGAGAGGAGGUGGAUGAACUUACAUCCGCCUAUCAAUAUGUAUGCUUAGCAAGUAGUGUUUCAUCAUCUGACAAUAUACAGAAAAGGUACUCCCUAAGUUUCUUGGGAAAAGUAGGCCAAUUUAAUGUGAAGGUUCUUCUGGAUUCAUUUCUCAGAGAAUUUGGUUUAGCUGUGGUGCAGUUUACUUUCAAUGUGAAAUUAUAUAUAUGUGUAAUGCAAGUUGGAGUGUUAAAGGUAUUUUAAGCAAUAGCGAACAGGAAAUACAAGUAAUAGUUGGUGAAAAAAAGAGAGAAAAAAAAGUGACAAUUAAAGCCUAGUUUAGUGCUAAGUUUGUAUUUCAUUUUCCCUGGUAAAAGUAACAAGCUAAUGUCAGUUAGAUAGCCAUAUGUUUUGUCUAUCACCAUUUAAAUCACUUACUCUCUGGAGUAGUUAAAUUACAUUUUUUUUUGUUUUUGAUCAUGAAGCAUCUGUUUUCUAAUUGAUUCGUUGAUUCUAUAGGAGUUAUAAUGCGAUGGUGGAAAUAUGCUACGUUGUCGGGAAUUGAUAUCAGUUAAUAACUAUAUUACUUCCACUAGUAAAUAUGGGCACCAUUCACUAAAUAUUCUGUUUAUCGGGACCAUCUACUUAUGUGAAAUCCUCUCUGUUUUUUAUAUAACAUGAAAUUCUGGGUGUCUUUGUCU